rnacentral:tRNA from 1 species
GGGGUUGUGUCUCAGUGGCAGAGCACUUGCCUAGCAUGUGUGAGGCACUGGGUUCAAUUCUCAGCACCUCA